AGUUCGAUCCCGCUCAGAUUGAACGGCUGGCGGGAUGCUUUACACACAAGUCGAACGCAGCACGGGACUUCUGGUCUGGUGGCGAGUGGCGAACGGUGAGUAAUGUAUCGGAACGUGCCUAGGUAGCGGGGGAUAACUACGCGAAAGCGUAGCUUAUUACCGGCUACCGCCCUUCGGGGGAAAGCGGGGGGACUUCGGGCUUCGCAAUUAGAGCGGCCGAUAUCGGAUUAGCUAGUUGCAGGGUAACGGCUCACCAAGGCGACGAUCCGUAGCUGGUUUGAGAUCGCUCUACGCCAGCACUGGGACUGGAGACACGGCCUAGACUCCUACGGGAGGCAGCAGUGGGGAAUUUUGGACAAUGGGGGGAAACCCUGAUCCAGCCAUCUCGCGUGUGCGAUGAAGGCCUUGGUUAGAAGCACUUUUGGCAGGAAAGAAACGGCACGGGAUAAUACCCCGCAACCGACGGUACCUGCAACAAGCACCGGCUAACUACGUGCCAGCAGCCGCGGCAUGUAGGGUGCAAGCGUUAAUCGGAAUUACUGGGCGUAAAGCGUGCGCAUAUGGUUCGGAAAGAAAGAUGUGAAAUCCCAGAGCUUAACUUUGGAACUGCAUUUUUAACUACCGAGCUAGAGUGUGUCAGAGGGAGGUGGAAUUCCGCGUAGCAGUGAAUGGCGUAGAUAUGCGGAGGAACACCUGAUGGCGAAGGCAGCCCCUGGGAUAACACUGAUUAUUCAUGUACCUGAGUGCCGUGGGAGCAAACAGGAUUAGAUACCCCGGUAGUCCACGCCCCAAACGAUGUCAACUAGCUGUUGGGGCUCGGGUCAGGUAGCGCAGCUAACGCGUGAAGUUGACCGCCUGGGGAGUACGGUCGCAAGAUUAAAACUCAAAGGAAUUGACGGGGACCCGCACGUUGGGUGGAUAUGUGAUUAAUUCGAUGCAACGCGGAAAAAACUGGCCUUACCCUGAUGGUUCAACUUUAGUGAGAUUGGUGUCGCAAGAGAACCGGAACACAGGUGCUGUAUGGCUGUCGUCAGCUCGUGUCGUGAGAUGCUGGGUUAAGUCCCGCAACGAGUGGCAACCUCGUCAUUAGUUGCUACGAAAGGGCACUUUAUCGAGAUUUGCCGGUGACAAACCGGAGGAAGGUGGGAUGACGUCGUCCUUACGGGCCUUUGGCGGUAGGGCUUCACGGCACAAUACCGACAGAGGGUCAACCCGCGAGGGGGAGCCAAUCCCAGAAACCCGAUCGUAGUCCGGAUCGCAGUCUGCAACUCGACUGCGUGAAGUCGAACGCUAGUAAUCGCGGAUCAGCAUGUCGCGGUGAAUACGUUCCCGGGUCUUGUACACACCGCCCGUCACACCAUGUGGAGGCUUUACCGUGAAGUGUUAGCCUAACCGUAAUGAGGGCGAUUACCACGGUAGAUUCGGCGACUGGGGUGAAGUCGUGGAAUAAGGUA
rnacentral:rRNA from 1 species